rnacentral:rRNA from 1 species
AGUGAACGCUGGCGGUAGGCCUAACACAUGCAAGUCGAACGGCAGCACAGUAAGAGCUUGCUCUUACGGGUGGCGAGUGGCGGACGGGUGAGGAAUACAUCGGAAUCUACUUUUUCGUGGGGGAUAACGUAGGGAAACUUACGCUAAUACCGCAUACGACCUACGGGUGAAAGCAGGGGAUCUUCGGACCUUGCGUGAUUGAAUGAGCCGAUGUCGGAUUAGCUAGUUGGCGGGGUAAAGGCCCACCAAGGCGACGAUCCGUAGCUGGUCUGAGAGGAUGAUCAGCCACACUGGAACUGAGACACGGUCCAGACUCCUACGGGAGGCAGCAGUGGGGAAUAUUGGACAGUGGGCGCAAGCCUGAUCCAGCCAUACCGCGUGGGUGAAGAAGGCCUUCGGGUUGUAAAGCCCUUUUGUUGGGAAAGAAAAGCAGCAGGUUAAUACCCCGCUGUUCUGACGGUACCCAAAGAAUAAGCACCGGCUAACUUCGUG